UUUCCAUUAGAGUUAAGGGAAUCUAAGGUUUUAGGUUCAAUAACUUGAAGUAGCGCAGCAUGAUAGUGAAGGAGUAUUCCAUCAAGUUUACUUAGUUAGCCAAAUAUGCUCCUCAUAUGGUAGCUGAUAGCAGGUCUAAGAUGAGUAAGUUUGUGUCUGGGUAUCUGAAAGUAUGGUCAAGGAGUGUAGGACUACAAUGUUGAUUAACGAGAUGGGCUUGUUUAGG
rnacentral:lncRNA from 1 species